rnacentral:rRNA from 1 species
UGGGGAAUUUUGCACAAUGGGGGAAACCCUGAUGCAGCGACGCCGCGUGAUUUAGAAGGCCUUCGGGUUGUAAAAAUCUUUUGUAUGGGAAGAAAAUGACAGUACCAUACGAAUAAGGACCGGCUAAUUACGUGCCAGCAGCCGCGGUAAUACGUAAGGUCCGAGCGUUGUCCGGAAUCAUUGGGCGUAAAGGGUACGUAGGCGGAUAAGCAAGUUAGAAGUGAAAUCCUAUAGCUCAACUAUAGUAAGCUUUUAAAACUGCUCAUCUUGAGGUAUGGAAGGGAAAGUGGAAUUCCUAGUGUAGCGGUGAAAUGCGCAGAUAUUAGGAGGAAUACCGGUGGCGAAGGCGACUUUCUAGACUUUUACUAACGCUCAGGUACGAAAGCGUGGGGAGCAAACAGG